GUCGAACGGCAGCAUGACCUAGCUUGCUAGGUUGAUGGCGAGUGGCGAACGGGUGAGUAAUGCACCGGAACGUACCCAGUAAUGGGGGAUAACGCACCGAAAGGUGUGCUAAUACCGCAUACGCCCUGAGGGGGAAAGCGGGGGAUCGUAAGACCUCGCGUUAUUGGAGCGGCCGAUGCCGGAUUAGCUAGUUGGUGGGGUAAAGGCCUACCAAGGCGACGAUCCGUAGCUGGUCUGAGAGGACGACCAGCCACACUGGGACUGAGACACGGCCCAGACUCCUACGGGAGGCAGCAGUGGGGAAUUUUGGACAAUGGGCGCAAGCCUGAUCCAGCCAUGCCGCGUGAGUGAAGAAGGCCUUCGGGUUGUAAAGCUCUUUCGCAAGGAAAGAAAACUUAGCUACUAAUACUAGCUGAGGAUGACGGUACCUUGAUAAGAAGCACCGGCUAA
rnacentral:rRNA from 1 species